AAAUUAACUUAAGGAUGUACUUAGGUGAGGUUAGGUGAAAAUUAAUAAAUUAAGAAGUUAAAAUUGAUACUAUAAGCUGGUAGAGCAUCAAUUAAGGAUAAAAAUAAGCUAAAAAUAUUGAUAGGUCAUGGACCUCCUUUUCGAGAUAUUUGAGAUUUUAAAUAUGGCGGGAAAAGGCUCACUCGGACUUUUACCUUAUAUUUACAUUGGUACUAUUGGGUCUCAAAACAAAAGAAAGAAAAUCAAGAAUCUUCUAAAAUUUUGGUAAAGGACCAUUCAUGAGCUAUUUAAUCUUAUAUGAAAAAAUAAAUGGGUGUCAUGGGGCAAAAUAUUUUACAUUGUAUUGUAUGGAAAAACACCAAGGAGUCCGAACAUUUG
rnacentral:lncRNA from 1 species